CUUCUUUUCUAGAGUGAAAUCUUCCAGUGCCUAGAAAGACUUCAUACCUGAGCCUCUCUGUCUCCUUAGACACGAGUCAGCCCUAAGCUGCUCCUGUUCCUAUUCUAUAAAACUUUUCUCAAAAUGUGACAUUAAUAAAAGCAUAAACUCUUUUUCUGUGAAUCUACCUUCUCUUUGAUGUUAAUUUUUAGUGUCCACACAUUCACAUUCGUUCCUGUCUUCCACGCCACAUUGACAAUCACACUAUGUGACCACACGGACACACACGCACACGCACACGCACACACACACACACACACACACGCGCGCGCGCGCGCGCCCCUUUGCCGUUAGCCCCCAGCUUAGUUAUUACAAAUGACCAGUAGAGUGUGGGCCAUGCCAUUAGCAGAACAUUUAAAAUCACUGCUCCAUUUUCUCUGAGAAGCAAAAGAGAAGAAAAUAAGGAAAACACAUCUUUCAAGGCUGAUACCUGACACUUGACUCUGCUCUUUACUGACUGAGCAAGUCACUUCCACAUGGCAGGACUGGAAGGAUGAAGGUGCUCCUUGAACUGCGAGGAGCCCCAGAGCAUACUUCACUUUGGCCAAGAAAGAAAAACCUCCAUGACUCCAGUCUAUCUGUAUCUGCUGAAGAGGUAAGGCUAAUACACUGCUUUACGGAGGGAGCCAUUCUAUGUUAUUUUAAAAUUUCUAAUAAAUAUGUAUAUUUUGUUUUUAAGUUUGGGCACCUGUUGGAUGAAAACGUGGGAUCCAACUUUGAUAACAUUGGCGUGAAUGCCAUGGCUAACAAAGAUCAAGCAAUUAUCCUUUCAAAUGACUAAAUGAUGUCUACUGAGAUACUCAAGGCCACAUGAUUAGGGAAGUCAUCCUGUACAUCUCACAGAGGUAGGAAGCACUGAAGGGCAACUUGUGAUGCUUGGCAGCAGAAGCCUCAAGCGUGGUCCUUUACUAUUAAUAUAUCUAUUCUGUUAAUAAGGGAAAAGAAAAAAAUGUGAGAAAAUGAAAAGAUGGAAGUAAAAUGUCUGUAAAUGGGGAGGGGAGGAGGGGUGAAGGGAGGGCAGGGACAAGGGGAAAAAAUGAGAAUCAAGACCUGUCAUGCAGAGGUACAAGAUCGUAACAAUGAAUGUAACUGUGCUGUAUCCCUGAAAUGUACCAAUAAACUCAUUAAAAAGAAAAAAAUAUCUAUUCUGCCUCACUCUAGGAGACUGUGUAUUUCCCAGAAGAGCCACA
rnacentral:lncRNA from 1 species